UACGUAGGGUGCGAGCGUUGUCCGGAAUUAUUGGGCGUAAAGAGCUUGUAGGUGGUUUGUCGCGUCUGCUGUGAAAAUCCGAGGCUCAACCUCGGACUUGCAGUGGGUACGGGCAGACUAGAGUGUGGUAGGGGAGACUGGAAUUCCUGGGUGUAGCGGUGGAAUGCGCAGAUAUCAGGAGGAACACCGAUGGCGAAGGCAGGUCUCUGGGCGAUUAAACUGAC
rnacentral:rRNA from 1 species